ACAAGGUCUCCGUAGGUGAACCUGCGGAGGGAUCAUUACACAAUAUGAAGGCGGGCUGGACACCCUCCCAGCCGGGCACUGCUUCACGGCGUGCGCGGCUGGAGCCGGCCCUGCUGAAUUAUUCACCCGUGUCUUUUGCGUACUUCUUGUUUCCUGGGUGGGCUCGCCCGCCAUCAGGACCAACCAUAAACCUUUUUGUAAUAGCAAUCAGCGUCAGUAACAACGUAAUUAAUUACAACUUUCAACAACGGAUCUCUUGGUUCUGGCAUCGAUGAAGAACGCAGCGAAAUGCGAUACGUAGUGUGAAUUGCAGAAUUCAGUGAAUCAUCGAAUCUUUGAACGCACAUUGCGCCCUUUGGUAUUCCAAAGGGCAUGCCUGUUCGAGCGUCAUUUGUACCCUCAAGCUUUGCUUGGUGUUGGGCGUCUUUUGUCUCCAGCUCGCUGGAGACUCGCCUUAAAGUCAUUGGCAGCCGGCCUACUGGUUUCGGAGCGCAGCACAAGUCGCGCUCUUGCCCAGCCAAGGUCAGCGUCCAGCAAGCCUUUUUUCAACCUUUGACCUCGGAUCAGGUAGGGAUACCCGCUGAACUUAAGCAUAUCAAUAAGCGGAGGAAAAGAAACCAACAGGGAUUGCCCCAGUAACG
rnacentral:rRNA from 1 species